GAUGAACGCUGGCGGCGUGCCUAAUACAUGCAAGUCGAGCGAACAGACGAGGAGCUUGCUCCUCUGACGUUAGCGGCGGACGGGUGAGUAACACGUGGAUAACCUACCUAUAAGACUGGGAUAACUUCGGGAAACCGGAGCUAAUACCGGAUAAUAUAUUGAACCGCAUGGUUCAAUAGUGAAAGACGGUUUUGCUGUCACUUAUAGAUGGAUCCGCGCCGCAUUAGCUAGUUGGUAAGGUAACGGCUUACCAAGGCAACGAUGCGUAGCCGACCUGAGAGGGGGAAUCGCCCACACGGAACCUAGAACACGUUCCAACCCCCUAGGGAGGGAGGCAGUAGGAAAUCUUCCGAAAUGGGCAAAGCCCUACCGAGGCAACGCGGGGUGGGUAAUAAGGGUCUUGGGUUCGUAAACCUCUGUUAUUGGGAAAAAAAAAAUGUGUAGGUAACUAUGCACGUCUUAACGGUCCCUAAUAAGAAAGCCCCGCCUAACUAGGU
rnacentral:rRNA from 1 species